UGCUUUUCUUUCAAGUUCCCUAAUAUAUCUGCUCCUUGCUAGCAACGAAGCACUUGAGUGUAUUAAUGUCUAAAGCAAUCAGCUCAUCUAUAUGCUCUCAAAAAUGGAUGAGCCAAUGAACAUGGUGUCAGAAACUGUUUUCCGGAAAUGGUGCCAGAGACAUCCUCUCAGUCCCACUCUGCUGCAGCCCAUCAGAGUACAUGUGGGGAUCCAGUUGUGCUCCUUCUGCAGGGAGAGACACUUUUCCUGUGUGACAGCCUGAGAAGUGGAGUGAAUGGGAUCACCUCGUCUCCUGCUCCACCCCAACCCUACCUCACCAGUGAGAUCACACAGGGAGAAUCUAUGGCAGCCUGUACCAAGGGUUUCCCUGGAUACGUCUCCUAAGAGUGGCAAAACUGAACCUGGACUGAGUUAGCAACAGUGUUUUGAAUGCUGACAACUGUACAGUCAGCCUUACUGCUACUCGGAUCAUAAACUGUGCUUUCUAAGUGAGACUAUAAACAAAAUAUAUAGCCAGCUUCUCUGCUGGUUCGAUUCUGCUGACUGUUUCUCCUAGCAGAUUCAAUUUGGAAACUGAAAAUCAAGACUGCUGCCUUCUGCAUCAAAGUCAAUAAUAGAGGUCCUGCCUCUAGCUCUGAUUUCCCAUCAAUUUACACCAGCAUCAGAGUAAUGAAACAAUGGAACAUCCAUCCGCAGCUUGCACAGAUUUUGUGUACUUCACACAGUCUGCUGUAGCUCUGCAAAGCCAGUGCAGGGGCUAUAAUAGGGUUGACAGUCACAGGGAUGUUGGCAAAAUCCUGGAAGUGUUUUCUGGCUGCAGAUGAGUGCCAUAUACCAAAGCUGUUGACUGCUGCUGCUGAAAACGAGGUUGCUUCUGGGCUGAUUGUGCCCUGGCAGUCAGCAGCUUAGAGCACAAUGCUAUAUCUUUUCCACUGAAUAGAUGGUGGGGUCAGUAUCCAGUCUGAUUUUUCUCCUCUCUGCUGAAAUAAUUACUACUGAUGAAGUUCUAGUGGGAAACAAAUUGAGUUCAGGAUUUGUACUGAUGCUACUGGUGGCACUGUGAGAAGAAAAAACAUUCUUUGACCUGCA